rnacentral:tRNA from 1 species
GCCGAAGUAGCUCAGUGGUAGAGUAGCUGAUUCGUAAUCAGUUGGCCGUGGGUUCAAAUCCCAUCUUCGGCUUCA